rnacentral:sRNA from 1 species
GUACAUUUUCGAUGAACUG